CGAAACAUAGAUUCGA
rnacentral:misc_RNA from 1 species